rnacentral:rRNA from 1 species
AUGAACGCUGGCGGCGUGCCUAACACAUGCAAGUCGAACGGAGCUGUUGGAUGAAGUUUCGGAUGGAUCCUUCAGCUUAGUGGCGGACGGGUGAGUAACGCGUGGAUAACCUGCCUUGAUCCGGGGGAUAGCAGUUGGAAACGACUGGUAAUACCGCAUAAGCGCACGGCAUGGCAUCAUGCAGUGUGAAAAGAUUUAUCGGGUCAAGAUGGAUCCGCGUCUGAUUAGCCAGUUGGCGGGGCAACGGCCCACCAAAGCAACGAUCAGUAGCCGGCCUGAGAGGGCGGACGGCCACAUUGGGACUGAGACACGGCCCAGACUCCUACGAGAGGCAGCAGUGGGGGAUAUUGCACAAUGGGCGCAAGCCUGAUGCAGCGAACCGCCGCGUGAGUGAAGAAGUAUUUCGGUAUGUAAAGCUCUAUCGGCAGGGAAGAAAGCCUCGCAAGAGGGAUGACGGUACCUGACUAAGAAGCCCCGGCUAACUACGUGCCAGCCGCGGC